rnacentral:rRNA from 1 species
AUGAAGAUAUUACGCAACACCAUCCCUCUCCUCUGGGAUGGCCCGACUCUCCUGCAGUCCCCCCGUGACAUUCGGGCCCAUGUUGAUGGGUUCUAUAGGUCCCUGUUCUCCGCUGCUCCUAGGAGCGGCCUUUCUCUGGCUCAUGAUUGCUGGACCGGCCUCCAGCUGGUUUCCGACGCGGAGAAUGCGGCCCUUACGGCCCCCUUCUCCGAGAGCGAGAUCGUGGCCAUCUUCGAUGAGUUCUUCAUUGGGUCCAUCGACCUUGGAUGCCUCAACUAUGGGAUCAUCUCGCCCAUCCCCAAGGUGCUGGGGGCUUCCGACAUCCACCAGUUCCGCCCGACCACGGUCAUCAACGUGAUUUUCCGGAUUCUGGCGAAAGGGUACGCCAAUAGGGUGACCCUGCUAGCUGACCACAUUACCCACCGCAACCAGUCCGCCUUCAAUCAAGGGCGGUAUAUCUUGGAUGGGGUGCUAGUUCUUCAUGAAGUCCUCCAUGAGGUUCGCUCUAAGCACCUCAAGGCGGUGUUCCUGAAGAUCGAUUUUUAUAAGGCAUACGACAUUGUUAGUUGGCCCUUCCUUCGGGAAGUUCUACUCCGGAAAGGCUUUGACGAUUGUUGGAUCUCCAGAGUGAUGCAGAUGGUUUCCUGCGGUCGCACUGCUGUGAACAUCAAUGGUGAGAUCGGCCCUUACUUCCCCACCUUCUAUGGGGUUAGACAAGGCGACCCCUUUUCUCCAUUCUUGUUCAAUAUGGUGGCGGAGGCGCUUGCCGCCAUCCUGGAUAAGGCUAAGGGUGCGGGGCAUAUUCGUGGGAUCACCCCCCACCUGGCCGGCGGCUCCAGGAUCUCCCCUCUCCAGUACGCCGAUGACACCAUCAUCAUGGUCGAAGGCUCGGAUGCGAACAUCUCUAACCUUAAGUUCCUCCUCCUCUGCUUCCAACAAAUGUCCGGCCUCAAGAUCAACUUCGACAAGAGUGAUGUGAUGGUGAUGGGCUACUCUCCUGCAGAAUCCCUAAACAUUGCCAACUGGCUCAACUGCGUUUGGGCUCCUUCCCCACGACCUACUUGCGAACGCCCAUUAGCGACGCUCGGCUUACAGUGGCUGUCUAAGGCGGCCCAGAUGAUCCUCAUCAACUCCUCCCUCUCCAGCCUCCUCUUGUUCCUCAUGAGCUUCUGCAGCCUGCACGAGACUCUACACCAUGAGAUCGCCAAGGUCCAGUCCUUCUUCUAUUGGGCCGGUGACAACAAUAAACAUAAAUACCAUAUGGUCAGCUGGCCUGACAUUUGCAAGCCUCGGGAACAAGGUGGCCUCAGUAUCCUGUGCUCUAAACGCAUGAAUAUUGCUCUCCUAUCCCGCUGGCUAUGGCGCAUCUCGCAAGGUCACGGUGGCCUCUGGUUAGACAUCAUCCGGAACAAGCCAUUUGGGCCUCCGGAUACCGCCGCUUGGCGUGAGUUGCUUGAUUGCGUCGCUCUCCAUGAGCCGAUGGUGGAGGCUGGCCCAGAUCAGGUGAGGUGGCGCCUUGAGUCGUCAGGCCAAUUCUCCACCAAGUCCCCGUACCAGGCCAUCGCCCCCUCCACCGCGCCUCCCCCCUCUUAUGGCGGUGUGGUCCAUCCGCCUUCCACUGAAAAUUCGGAUCUUCAUGUGGCAGUGGAUUCGCGGACGGACCCCGUCUGGGGUCGAGACUCGACUCGCUUCUUCUUCUCGUGUGUGUCCGCUCAAUUUGUUUGGAGCUGCUUUAGGGAGGUGGUGGGUGGGAAUUGGUGCCAUACCAACUUCCCCGACCUAUUUGCCGAACUCCAGAACUCCCCCUUGCCCUCUCGCCACAUUCAGUGGCUUGACAUUGGGGCGAUCGCCUGGACCCUCUGGACGAUCCGCAACAAGCUUGUGAUACAGCGCACUCCUCUUCGAUGGGCUACUGAUGCUCUUUUCAAACUGUCUGGUUACCUGCAGCUUUGGCGGCCGCUCAGCCGCCCUCACGAUUGGGACGCCAUCUCCGCCUUCAUCGCCGACCUUCACUCGGCGGCCGUCCGUCUGUCGCCGCCGCCCCCUCCGCCACCCCCGGAGCCUGACUAG